UUGACGGGGGCCCGCACAAGCGGUGGAUGAUGUGGUUUAAUUCGAUGCAACGCGAAAACUUACCCACCUUUGACAUGGCAGGAAUCCUAAGAGAUUGGGAGUGCUCGAAAGAGAACCUGCACACAGGUGCUGCAUGGCUGUCGUCAGCUCGUGUCGUGAGAUGUUGGGUUAAGUCCCGCAACGAGCGCAACCCUUGCCAUUAGUUGCUACGAAAGGGCACUCUAAUGGGACUGCCGGUGACAAACCGGAGGAAGGUGGGGAUGACGUCAAGUCCUCAUGGCCCUCAUAGGUGGGGCUACACACGUCAUACAAUGGCCGGUACAGAGGGUAGCCAACCCGCGAGGGGGAGCCAAUCCCACAAAGCCGGUCGUAGUCCGGAUCGCAGUCUGCAACUCGACUGCGUGAAGUCGGAAUCGCUAGUAAUCGCGGAUCAGCAUGCCGCCGUGAAUACGUUCCCGGGUCUU
rnacentral:rRNA from 1 species